UCUUGCCUGCCCAGUGACAAGUUAAACGGCCGCGGUAUUUUGACCGUGCGAAGGUAGCGCAAUCACUUGUCUUUUAAAUGAAGACCUGUAUGAAUGGUGGAACGAGGGCUUAACUGUCUCCCCUUUCAAGUCAAUGAAAUUGAUCUGCCCGUGCAGAAGCGGGCAUACAAAUACAAGACGAGAAGACCCUUUGGAGCUUAAGAUACAAGAUCAACUAUGUCAAGAACCCUAAAAGUUAAACUAAAUAGCAACUGAUCCUUAUCUUCGGUUGGGGCGACCGCGGGAGAAAAUAAAGCUCCCACGCGGACUGGGGUUAAUCCCCUAAAACCAAGAAAGACAUUUCUAAGUCACAGAAUAUUUGACCACAAAGAUCCGGCUUACAACUGCCGAUCAACGAACA
rnacentral:rRNA from 1 species